GACCUGGUUUUACUAAAAGAAAAGAAAAGAAAAAGAAACAGACAUAUUUGGAUGAUGUAUUCAUACAAGCACAGCCUAUGCUACAAACGGUUCAGUUAAGCAAACUGCA